rnacentral:rRNA from 1 species
UACAGAGGGUGCAAGCGUUGUUCGGAAUUACUGGGCGUAAAGCGCGUGUAGGCGGCGGCGUUAGUCGGAUGUGAAAUCCCUCAGCUCAACUGAGGAAGUGCAUUCGAUACUGCGUCGCUUGAAUGUCGGAGGGGAUGGCGGAAUUCCCGGUGUAGAGGUGAAAUUCGUAGAUAUCGGGAGGAACACCUGUGGCGAAGGCGGCCAUCUGGACGACGAUUGACGCUGAGACGCGAAAGCGUGGGUAGCAAACAGG